rnacentral:rRNA from 1 species
AUUGAACGCUGGCGGCAGGCCUAACACAUGCAAGUCGAGCGGAUGAAGGGAGCUUGCUCCUGGAUUCAGCGGCGGACGGGUGAGUAAUGCCUAGGAAUCUGCCUGGUCGUGGGGGAUAACGUCCGGAAACGGGCGCUAAUACCGCAUACGACCUGAGGGCGAAAGUGGGGGAGCUUCGGACCUCACGCUAUCAGAUGAGGCUAGGUCGGAAUAGCUAGGUGGUGGCGUAAAGGCCUACCAAGGCGACGAUCCGUAACUGGUAUGAGAGCAUGGUCAGUCACACUGUCACUGAGACUCGUCACAGACUCCUACGGGAGGCAGCAGUGGGGACUCUUGCACGAUGGGCCAAAGGCUGAUCCAGUCCUGCCGCGUGUGUGCAGAAGGUCUUCGGAUUGUAAAGCGCUUUAAGUUGGGAGGUAGGAAAGUAAGUUUAUCCCUUGUUGUUUUGACGGUACCAACAGAAUAAGCUCCGGCUAACUUCGUG